rnacentral:tRNA from 1 species
UGGUAAUUAGUUUAAUUAAAAUUAAUGAUUUCGACUC